rnacentral:rRNA from 1 species
UGGGGGAUAUUGCACAAUGGGCGAAAGCCUGAUGCAGCGACGCCGCGUGGGGGAUGAAGGCUUUCGGGUUGUAAACCUCUUUCGCUAUCGAACAAGGCCCGCUUAGGGUGGGUUGAGGGUAGGUGGAGAAGAAGCGCCGGCUAACUACGUGCCAGCAGCCGCGGUAAUACGUAGGGCGCGAGCGUUGUCCGGAAUUAUUGGGCGUAAAGGGCUUGUAGGCGGCUUGUUGCGCCUGCUGUGAAAACGCGGGGCUUAACUUCGCGCGUGCAGUGGGUACGGGCAGGCUUGAGUGGGGUAGGGGUGACUGGAAUUCCAGGUGUAGCGGCGGAAUGCGCAGAUAUCUGGAGGAACACCGAUGGCGAAGGCAGGUCACUGGGCCAUUACUGACGCUGAGGAGCGAAAGAAUGGGUAGCGAACAGG